rnacentral:rRNA from 1 species
AGGUGCUGCAUGGCUGUCGUCAGCUCGUGUCGUGAGAUGUUGGGUUAAGUCCCGCAACGAGCGCAACCCUUGCCAUUAGUUGCUACGAAAGGGCACUCUAAUGGGACUGCCGGUGACAAACCGGAGGAAGGUGGGGAUGACGUCAAGUCCUCAUGGCCCUUAUGGGUAGGGCUACACACGUCAUACAAUGGCCGGUACAGAGGGCUGCCAACCCGCGAGGGGGAGCCAAUCCCGUAAAACCGGUCGUAGUCCGGAUUGCAGUCUGCAACUCGACUGCAUGAAGUCGGAAUCGCUAGUAAUCGCGGAUCAGCAUGUCGCGGUGAAUACGUUCCCGGGUCUUG